rnacentral:lncRNA from 1 species
GCUGACCCUCAUAAACGAAUGCGCCUCCCUGUUAGUAUUUGAUGACGGAGCCAUUUGAGCUGGAGCUUGCUGCGUGAUAUCAUGCUCAGGCAUAUGCAGUGGCUCAGUCCUCCUAGCCAGCGGUGCUGCGGAAGAUAUUUUUCUAUUCUCCUUAGUGAUCAUAUGCGUGACUUCUUCCAGCUUAGAUGUGGAAACCGAUCUAU